GGAUGAUCCAAUUUGUUAUUCCCAAUUUUGCAAACUGUUGGAGACAGAUUUCAAGGAAGUCACUAUUCCUAAGGUUACAAGGCUAACAAAGUGUGACAUAUGUGUCAUUCUAAAAGAGGAGAAGCAAAAGACCUUGGAUAAAACAGAGAGAAAUUACUAUGAUGUUCUUUACAACCAACAUAAUCAGCUUCAAAGGGAAGAGCGUGAGAAGUAUUAUAAACACCGUGCCAAAGCUAAAUCAG